AAACAGGCAGGAAAGCUAUGGAAAGAAGAGCUGACUGAAUGCCCUCUUUACCUCCUCAUGUCCAUGGACUUUGGUGUUGUGCUAAGACAUUUCUAAGGACCGGGCUAUACACACACUAAACUGAACAUGUGUCCUUGCUCUGAAGAUAUUUGAGCAGACCCAUGCAUUCAUGCAACACCAAGACGGACUUCAUGCUAGAUGGCAUAAGCAGAUCUGACCAGCCACCGACCUCCGUGACUAGAUGAAGAAAUGGAUCUAGGUUGUACAGUGCAGCUGUCUGGUUAUGCUGGUGAUCAUGGAGAAUAUUUUAUAUGGUCAGAGGCAAAAGUGACUGAGGAUACGGAAUCUUGAUGGAGACCAGCUGUGUACCCACUGUUUCCCAAAGUACACAUGUACUUAGGAAAUCGUCAGACUAAGAAUUGAGAGGAGUCUAGAAUUUUCUUCCAUCACCAAGAUCAUCCCAAUAAUUACAAUGUGUUUUUGAAGACUAGUUACCACCCUGCCUGGAUUUUGCCUUCAAUUAGCAUUUCCAUAAUUUAGCCACAUAACUGUCAUUCUCUACUGAUUGGUUGGAAGCUGGAACACAGUUUGGAUCUGUCAUCCUUAUUUUCCUUGGUGAUUAAAAAUAUUUUCUCCAAGUA